UACGAAGGGGGCUAGCGUUGUUCGGAAUUACUGGGCUUAAAGCGCACGUAGGCGGACAUUUAAGUCAGGGGUGAAAUCCCAGAGCUCAACUCUGGAACUGCCUUUGAUACUGGGUGUCUUGAGUAUGGAAGAGGUGAGUGGAAUUCCGAGUGUAGAGGUGAAAUUCGUAGAUAUUCGGAGGAACACCAGUGGCGAAGGCGGCUCACUGGUCCAUUACUGACGCUGAGGUACGAAAGCGUGGGGAGCAAACAGG
rnacentral:rRNA from 1 species